rnacentral:rRNA from 1 species
UGGGGAAUAUUGCACAAUGGGCGAAAGCCUGAUGCAGCGACGCCGCGUGAGGGAUGACAGCCUUCGGGUUGUAAACCUCUUUCAGCAGGGAAGAAGCGAAAGUGACGGUACCUGCAGAAGAAGCGCCGGCUAACUACGUGCCAGCAGCCGCGGUAAUACGUAGGGCGCAAGCGUUGUCCGGAAUUAUUGGGCGUAAAGAGCUCGUAGGCGGUUAGUCGCGUCUGCUGUGAAAACUCGAGGCUCAACCUCGGGCUUGCAGUGGGUACGGGCUGACUAGAGUGCGGUAGGGGUGACUGGAAUUCCUGGUGUAGCGGUGGAAUGCGCAGAUAUCAGGAGGAACACCGAUGGCGAAGGCAGGUCACUGGGCCGCAACUGACGCUGAGGAGCGAAAGCAUGGGGAGCGAACAGGAUUAGAUAGCCCUGGUAGUCCAUGCCGUAAACGUUGGGCACUAGGUGUGGGGUCCAUUCCACGGAUUCCGUGCCGCAGCAAACGCAUUAAGUGCCCCCGCCUGGGGAGUACGGCCGCAAGGCUAAAACUUAAAGGAAUU